AAAGGUAAGCUACUAAGAGCGAAUGGUGGAUGCCUUGACUGGUAAAGGCGAUGAAGGACGUACUAGACUGCGAUAAGCUACGGGGAGCUGUCAAGAAGCUUUGAUCCGUAGAUUUCCGAAUGGGGCAACCCAAUGUAUAGAGAUAUACAUUACCUAUAUAGGAGCGAACGAGGGGAAUUGAAACAUCUUAGUACCCUCAGGAAAAGAAAUCAAUAGAGAUUGCGUCAGUAGCGGCGAGCGAAAGCGCAAGAGGGCAAACCCAGUGCUUGCACUGGGGGUUGUAGGACUGCAAUGUGCAAGAGGUGAGUUUAGCAGAACAUUCUGGAAAGUAUAGCCAUAGAGGGUGAUAGUCCCGUAUGCGAAAAACAAACCUUAGCUAGCAGUAUCCUGAGUAGGGCGGGACACGAGAAAUCCUGUCUGAAGCUGGGUCGACCACGAUCCAACCCUAAAUACUAAUACCAGAUCGAUAGUG
rnacentral:rRNA from 1 species